UUGCAAAGUCAUUUGUUUCGUUGUACCUGGCAUGGCAACACUAGCAGUGGUGCAUUGACGAUGAUUGCUGUUCCAGCUAUCUUGAUGUGUGCAAGUUGUUGUUGCAGUUGAAUUUCUUUGUGAUUCAAUAAGAAAACAUCUUCAACAUGAAUUCUACAGUUGCACUUUUGCAUUACAUUUACAUAUGUAUAAAAUGCUUGCUCUGAUUGUAAACAUGUUAAACAUGCUGGAAACUGAAGUAAUGGUUUAGGGGUCAUCAGGCCCCUGGAGGUAAGCAGGUGGGUGUUUUAGUGGUGAUUAGAGUGAAAAAAGGAAAGAGGUUUAGGGUUGAACUGGUUCUCAAAAACGGUUUUUGAGAGGUGCACUCAUGCUGAUGCUGUUAUUGUACACACCACAUAUGGUUGGUGUUUUUCUUUUGCAGUGCUGUUGCCUGGCGAUCUGGUUAACAUUCUAGUCAAAAAAAAUGGAGAUGUUGGUCACUCCACUUCCAAACAGAACUUGCAUUGCCAUCUUCCUCCAGCAUACAUGGGAUUGGGCCUGCUGCAGCGAUAGUAUUGUUUCUGUGAACUAUUGCAAAAUAGAUCAUUCAACAUCUCACCUUUUCUUCAAGUCUUGCUUUAAUUAUAUAUAAUAUCUAUCUCUCACUCUCUAUAUAUAUAUAUUUUUAAAACUUUCUUCAUUUUUUUCUUGUUCUUAUCCUUUUUCCUUUCAUCUCCAAAGAGUGUAUUUGCUGAGAGUAUGACAGGUUGUGUGUAUGGUGCAUUCAGAUGCAGUGAUAACAAGCAGACUUGAGAAUUGGUUGAGAGUUUUGAUCUUAAAAGAAAUUGCAGGAAUCUCCUGCCAAGUAUUAACUGUCUCUUCUUGCGGAGGAAAACAAAACAGAAAAAAAAUAUAAAACAAUUACAAUGUUUAAAGAGAAUUGAUGGUGACCCCCUUUAUGCUUAAAAUCACUUCAUUCAACAUUAAAGUCUUUUUUCUUUUUUUUUUUCAAACUUUCUACUAUAUUAUUUUUCUCUACACCCAUAAAUAUAAUUUUAAUAAUUGAUGGGAAGCAAAAUUUCCUACUAUAAGGCUACUGGACCUUUUUUUUUUCUGUGCCAUCCAAACCUUACACUUGCAUCAUGCUGCUCUCUCCCACUUUUUUUUUUUUUUUUCUGUGUGGCUUUGUAAAUUUCUAUAAUGCUUGGCUACAUAUCAGGGGUGUGUAAUAAGUAUGUUUGUGUGUGUGUAUGUGUGUGUGUAUAUAUCAUAGGGACUGAGGUGUGACUGGAAGUUCUCAAUCUCCCCCCUCCCCCAUCCAUUCUGUUACGAUUCCCAAUUUCGAAUUAUUUCACUUUAUGUCACUUAAUGCUCUGGGAAAAAACCAAAAACAUCAUGAACAUCACAACUACCCCUCCCCUAUAACUAUGAGAUGCCAUGCUUAUGUAAUAAAAAUAUCCUAUCUAUCUUGUCCAAAAACAAAUAAAAAGAUUUUUCAUUGAAAUUUAUA